UACGUAGGUGGCAAGCGUUGUCCGGAUUUACUGGGCGUAAAGAGCGCGCAGGCGGUCAUUCAAGUCGAGUGUGAAAGCCCCCGGCUCAACUGGGGAGGGUCACUCGAUACUGUUUGACUCGAAGGCGGGAGAGGGAAGUGGAAUUCCCGGUGUAGUGGUGAAAUGCGUAGAUAUCGGGAAGAACACCCGUGGCGAAGGCGGUUCUCUGGGACGGUACUGACGCUGAGACGCGAAAGCGUGGGGAGCGAACAGG
rnacentral:rRNA from 1 species